UACGUAGGGGGCAAGCGUUGUCCGGAAUUAUUGGGCGUAAAGCGCGCGCAGGCGGCUUCUUAAGUCUGAUGUGAAAGCCCACGGCUCAACCGUGGAGGGUCAUUGGAAACUGGGGAGCUUGAGUGCAGAAGAGGAGAGUGGAAUUCCACGUGUAGCGGUGAAAUGCGUAGAGAUGUGGAGGAACACCAGUGGCGAAAGCGGCUCUCUGGUCUGUAACUGACGCUGAGGCGCGAAAGCGUGGGGAGCAAACAGG
rnacentral:rRNA from 2 species